UACGUAGGGCGCAAGCGUUGUCCGGAAUUAUUGGGCGUAAAGAGCUCGUAGGUGGUUUGUCGCGUCUGUCGUGAAAGCCCGGGGCUUAACUCCGGGUCUGCGGUGGAUACGGGCAGACUAGAGGCAGGUAGGGGAGAACGGAAUUCCCGGUGUAGCGGUGAAAUGCGCAGAUAUCGGGAGGAACACCAAUGGCGAAGGCAGCUCGCUGGAACGGUACUGACGCUGAGGCGCGAAAGCGUGGGGAGCGAACAGG
rnacentral:rRNA from 1 species